rnacentral:rRNA from 1 species
ACGAACGCUGGCGGUAUGCUUAACACAUGCAAGUCGAACGAGACAAGAUGGAAGUGCUUGCACAGAAAUCUUAGAAAGUGGCGAACGGGUGAGUAACGCGUGGGUAACCUGCCCUAUGGAAAGGAAUAGCCUCGGGAAACUGGGAGUAAUGCCUUAUAAUACAUUGAAGUCGCAUGGCUUUGAUGUUAAACGCUCCGGUGCCAUAGGAUGGACCCGCGUCCCAUUAGCUAGUUGGUGAGAUAACAGCCCACCAAGGCGACGAUGGGUAACCGGUCUGAGAGGGCGAACGGUCACACUGGAACUGAGACACGGUCCAGACUCCUACGGGAGGCAGCAGUGGGGAAUAUUGCGCAAUGGGGGAAACCCUGACGCAGCAAUACCGCGUGAGUGAAGAAGGUUUUCGGAUCGUAAAGCUCUGUUAUUGGGGAAGAAAAAAAGACGGUACCCAAGAAGAAAGUCCCGGCUAACUACGU